rnacentral:rRNA from 1 species
GACGAACGCUGGCGGCGUGCCUAAUACAUGCAAGUCGAGCGCAGGAAAUCGACGGAACCCUUCGGGGGGAAGUCGAUGGAAUGAGCGGCGGACGGGUGAGUAACACGAAAAGAACCUGCCCUCAGGUCUGGGAUAACCACGAGAAAUCGGGGCUAAUACCGGAUGGGUCAUCGGACCGCAUGGUCCGAGGAUGAAAGGCGCUUCGGCGUCGCCUGGGGAUGGCUUUGCGGUGCAUUAGCUAGUUGGUGGGGUAAUGGCCCACCAAGGCGACGAUGCAUAGCCGACCUGAGAGGGUGAUCGGCCACACUGGGACUGAGACACGGCCCAGACUCCUACGGGAGGCAGAAGUAGGGAAUCUUCCACAAUGGACGAAAGUCUGAUGGAGCAACGCCGCGUGAACGAUGAAGGCCUUCGGGUCGUAAAGUUCUGUUGUAAGGGUAGAACAAGUGCCGCAGGCAAUGGCGGCACCUUGACGGUACCUUGCGAGAAAGCCACGGCUAACUACGUGCCAGCCGCCGCGGUAAGAC